AUGUGCUCUGGAAUGGUUUCCUGGACCUUUAGCACGGGAAUGACACAGUUCGUGACCUUGGUCAAACAGGUUUUGAACCUGUCUCAGAAGAAUGCAGUCAUCUCUAAUCUGGAAUUUCACAUGAAUUUGCAUCAUAUUCAGGUUUGUUCAACUCUGAAAACUAAACUCUGCUUAAUUUGGAAGACACCAAUGGUGCUUCAAGCAUUGUACACAAUUAAGAAUAGACCUUCUUCACUAACUGCGCCUUUAUAAUGCUAGCAAAAAGUAGGCGAUGUGCAGGUUUUUUUUUUUUUUUUUUUUGCAUGUGAACAUCUCACAUUAAUUUCUUUGACUCAGAAGACAUCAUAUACUAGUAUAACAUCAAUAGAUUGCUUAAAUUAUCAGUGCUGACAACAUUAAUAACCUGAUAUACAUUAAGGCUGUUUGUGUAAAUCAAGCAGCCCAUGUGUAGCACGUUCAUUAUCAGUUAUCAGACAUCAAGACUUCUUUGCUACUCAGCAUCUUCUCUAUGAUUCCUAGACAGCCCUGCAUUACAGAAAUACAAUAGCACAAUUAGUUUGCGGCAUC
ensembl:lncRNA